rnacentral:rRNA from 1 species
GCAUAUCAAUAAGCGGAGGAAAAGAAACCAACAGGGAUUACCUCAGUAACGGCGAGUGAAGCGGUAAAAGCUCAAAUUUGAAAUCUGGCUCUUUCAGAGUCCGAGUUGUAAUUUGUAGAAGAUGCUUCGGGUGUGGUUCCGGUCUAAGUUCCUUGGAACAGGACGUCAUAGAGGGUGAGAAUCCCGUAUGUGACUGGAUACCUAUGCUCAUGUGAAGCUCUUUCGACGAGUCGAGUUGUUUGGGAAUGCAGCUCAAAAUGGGUGGUAUAUUUCAUCUAAAGCUAAAUAUUGGCCAGAGACCGAUAGCGCACAAGUAGAGUGAUCGAAAGAUGAAAAGCACUUUGGAAAGAGAGUUAAACAGUACGUGAAAUUGUUGAAAGGGAAGCGCUUGCAAUCAGACUUGCACUUGGUGUUCAUCGGGGUUUCUACCCCGUGUACUUCAUCAAGUUCAGGCCAGCAUCAGUUUGGGUGGUUAGAUAAAGGCUUAGAGAAUGUGGCCCUCUUCGGGGGGUGUUAUAGCUCUAGGUGCAAUGUAGCCUACCUGGACUGAGGACCGCGCUUCGGCUAGGAUGCUGGCGUAAUGGUUGUAAGCGACCCGUCUUGAAACACGGACCAAGGAGUGUACCUAAUAUGCGAGUGUUUGGGUGUUAAACCCAUACGCGUAAUGAAAGUGAACGGAGGUGAGAGCCCUUAAGGGUGCAUCAUCGACCGAUCCUGAUGUCUUCGGAUGGAUUUGAGUAAGAGCAUAUUGGGUGCGACCCGAAAGAUGGUGAUCUAUACGUGAAUAGGGUGAAGCCAGAGGAAACUCUGGUGGAGGCUCGCAGCGGUUCUGACGUGCAAAUCGAUCGUCAAAUUUGCGUAUAGGGGCGAAAGACUAAUCGAACCAUCUAGUAGCUGGUUCCUGCCGAG